GGAUUAGAUACCCUGGUAGUCCACGCCGUAAACGAUGAGAGCUAGUUGUCAGGCAGCAUGCUGUCUGGUGACGCAGCUAACGCAUUAAGCUCUCCGCCUGGGGAGUACGGCCGCAAGGUUAAAACUCAAAGAAAUUGACGGGGGCCCGCACAAGCGGUGGAGCAUGUGGUUUAAUUCGAAGCAACGCGAAGAACCUUACCUGCGCUUGACAUCCCUAUCGCGGAUUAGAGAGAUCUUUUCCUUCAGCUCGGCUGGAUAGGUGACAGGUGCUGCAUGGCUGUCGUCAGCUCGUGCCG
rnacentral:rRNA from 1 species